UACGUAGGUGGCAGGCGUUGUCCGGAUUUACUGGGCGUAAAGGGCGUGCAGGCGGUUUCUUAAGUCAGGCGUGAAACCAUUCGGCUAAACCGGGUGUAGUCGUCUGAGACUGGGAGACUAGAGUGUGGUAGAGGCGUGUAGAAUUCCGGGUGUAGUGGUGAAAUGCGUAGAUAUCCGGAGGAAUACCAGUGGCGAAGGCGGCACGCUGGGCCAUAACUGACGCUAAGACGCGAAAGCAUGGGUAGCGAACGGG
rnacentral:rRNA from 1 species